rnacentral:sRNA from 16 species
AUCAUCCGAAGCGACGCACUCCUCCUCCCAGUGUCGCUCGAUGUGGAUCGGUGGUACUCCUCCUCCCAAUCACCGAUCAAUUUUGAAGCCUGCCGCACCUCCUCCCGCGGAGGUUUUUCCU